rnacentral:rRNA from 1 species
GACGAACGCUGGCGGCGUGCCUAAUACAUGCAAGUCGAGCGAAGUUUUUCUGGUGCUUGCACUAGAAAAACUUAGCGGCGAACGGGUGAGUAACACGUAAAGAACCUGCCUCAUAGACUGGGACAACUAUUGGAAACGAUAGCUAAUACCGGAUAACAGCAUUAACUGCAUGGUUGAUGUUUAAAAGUUGGUUUUGCUAACACUAUGAGAUGGCUUUGCGGUGCAUUAGCUAGUUGGUGGGGUAAAGGCCUACCAAGGCGACGAUGCAUAGCCGACCUGAGAGGGUGAUCGGCCACACUGGAACUGAGACACGGCCCAGACUCCUACGGGAGGCAGCAGUAGGGAAUCUUCGCAAAGGGCGAAAGCCUGACGGAGCAACGCCGCGUGAGUGAAGAAGGAUUUCGGUUCGUAAAGCUCUGUUGUUAGGGAAGAAUGAUUGUGUAGUAACUAUACACAGUAGAGACGGUACCUAACCAGAAAGCCACGGCUAACUACGUG